rnacentral:rRNA from 1 species
AUUGAACGCUGGCGGCAGGCCUAACACAUGCAAGUCGAGCGAGCGGCGGACGGGUGAGUAAUGUAUGGGGACUGCCUGAUGGAGGGGGAUAACUACUGGAAACGGUGGCUAAUACCGCAUACUAUCGGAUAACCCAUAUGGGAUUAGCUGGUAGUUGUGGUAACGGCUCACCUAGUCGACGCUCCCUAGCUGGUCUGAGAGGAUGAUCAGCCAAACGGGAACUGAGACACGGUCCAGACUCCUACGGAGGCAGCAGUGGGGAAUAUUGCACAAUGGGAGCAAGCCUGAUGCAGCCAUGCCGCGUGUAUGAAGAAGGCCUUCGGGUUGUAAAGUACUUUCAGCCAGGAGGCGUUACCGGAAGAAGAAGCACCGGCUAACUCCGUGCCAGCAGCCGCGGUAAUAC